rnacentral:misc_RNA from 1 species
AAGUCGUAACAAGGUUUCCGUAGGUGAACCUGCGGAAGGAUCAUUAACACUUAAAAUAAAAAUAAUUUCCCUUUUGAAUCCCUCUCUUUUCUUUCUCCUCUCUUCGGAGGGAGGAAGUCAAGAGAUUUUCAAAUUUAAUUUGAACAAAAAUGUGUAACCUUACUUUUUUACUUAUGGAUUUGAGGGCAAGAAAAGAGGGAGUUUUCUCUCUCUCUUCGUGGUCCUCAGAUUUUCUCAUAAACCAGUUAAACCCAAAAACAAAAUAUGGCGUAUCAGAGGUCUUGUCUUUGACUUGCCCUCUUGAUCCCCCAUAGUUAAACCAAAAACAAAAAACCAAAAACUAAAAAAAAACAAAAUAAAACACAACUCUUAACAAUGGAUAUCUUGGUUCUCGC